rnacentral:rRNA from 1 species
GACGAACGCUGGCGGCGUGCUUAACACAUGCAAGUCGAACGGAAAGGCCCUGCUUGCAGGGUGCUCGAGUGGCGAACGGGUGAGUAACACGUGGGUGAUCUGCCCCUUACUUUGGGAUAAGCCUGGGAAACUGGGUCUAGUACUGGAUAGGACCAUGCUGUAGGUGGUGUGGUGGAAAGAUUAGUUUCGGUAAGGGAUGAGCUCGCGGCCUAUCAGCUUGUUGGUGGGGUAAUGGCCUACCAAGGCGUCGACGGGUAGCCGGCCUGAGAGGGUGGACGGCCACAUGGCGACUGAGACACGGCCGAGACGCCGAGGGGGGGGAGCAGUGGGGGAACUGGGAGAGGGGGCGCAAGUGUGAAGCCUCGACGGCUGGGGGGCGCUGACAGCCUUCGGGCAGGAAACCCCUGACAGGCAUGAGGAAGUGCGUGUAGUGACGGUAGUGGCAGAAGAAACACCGACUAACUACGUG